AGUACUUCCCGCCGAAACGCUGCAGCUGAGCGUGAGCUGUGCUGUGCUCCCUGAGGCACCUCUGUGUCUCCUGACUGAACGCUGCUGUUGACCCCUCGGAGGCAUUUCUAGCACUGUUGCCCUGUCGAGGCUUGGUCUUACCUCUGUUUCCCGAGCAACGCCCAGCACUUAGAAGCAGCCCAGCACUGCCCCUACACUAAUUUCUCCCAUGCAGGCCUGUGUGCCUGCACAACUGUGUCACUAAGGAGUGUGAUGGCCGUCCCGAGAGCUCACAGACAUUCAUCAGAGGGAGAAAGCCACCAGGUCCUGCACAAGUUAUCAAGAAAUUAUCCUGAAACUCGAGGCUUCAACCGGCUUUUCCAGGAUUGGGAAAGAGGAAAGAGCUCUUCCUCACAGCUGAAUGAUUUUCCAAACACAGCUUCGUUAGCCCAUUGCUUGGGGGGCCCCUCAAGAGGCUACAUGAAGGGCCAACUGGCACACAGCAGUGGCUUCCACGACAAACCCUUGCAAGAGUACUUCAAUGAGAGGCUGAUGGAGCUCAGGAACUAUGAAAGUAAGAGGUCCAAUAGGAAGACAAAGGGAUUUCCAGACAAGAACCAAAACCCCUUCCUCACCCACAGAGGAUCUCGGCGCAGAAGUAGUUGCAGUGCUGUGGUAAUGGUUGGGUAUAAGGAGACAGAAGAAUCCUGCAGCUCAGCAAAUCAAGAAAACAGAAAAGGGACAGAACACAGUGCUCAAAAGGGAACCCAGAAUGUCCUGGACCUCUACAAGGGUGACUUUUUGGACAUUUUAACAAUGCACAUCGCUGCUCCUCUAGAAGCAUUUGUGCAAAAAAAGUAAUGCUGGAGCUGUUUACAGCCAGUCCUGCAGUCCUCCAAGUGAAGAAUCGUUCCUGUUCAGUCCUGUCGUGACUUAGUAGUUCAUGUGUGUUAGUUCAUUCUAAUGCAGAAAUAUGUUUGUGGGACAAUGUUCUUCACUGACAGGGCAUACCUUUGUUUUUGAUUAUUUUCCUCUAAGAGUCAGUAAAAAUAAGGGAUACUCUUGAAUUACCAUACACAGAGAGCGCUGUUCUAAAUGCACACAUUACUUGAAUCCUUAAGUUGCCUUAAAAAAGAGUGAUUAGUUUCAGUGGAGCAGUGUGGUUUCCCAUUGGUAGCACGUAGUUUCCAUUAGCUAAUCUGAAGAAACAAUAUUGUGUCCUGCCAAGUUACUUUGCUUGUUUUAAGCUUUCUUGUUUUUUUAACUUAUCACUUUGACCCAUUCAAUCUAUGCUAUGUUUUGCAUGGAUGUGAACUACUUGAUAAGAAAUGUUUGAUUUUGUCUUGUUGCCACAUGUUAUAAUCACCAGGAAGAUCCUUGUAACAGUGUCUGACACUUGAAGAACACCGAUGUAAGCUUCAUUUUUAAAUCUGAUCACCACUGUGGUUUCAUGUGCAUACUCACAAACCUUUGACUUAAAAAGCACUGCAAGUGCAAAGAGGAAGGAAUGCUGCGUUUUAGUGAGAAUUAGGGAUGUAAUUAUGUAGGUAGGAUCUGUCCCACUUUCCUGUUGUAAAUGUGAGGUCAAUAUGGCAAAUUCUUAAUGCAAUCUGAGUUUCAAAUUGUUUAUUGUGUAUAAACUUUGUGUUUAUAGUGGUCAUCUAAGUAUACAAUGUCAGCUGCAGACAGAUUUUUCUACUACAUAGAAUGUCAAUGUUUAGUUCUACAGAGCAUUGAAUAUCAGGCCCAAAGCUGGGCAACUAGUUUAAGCUUCCAAAAAGCACUAUUGCCUGUAGUAUUAUUAGCAAUAAAGUCAUCAUUACAG
rnacentral:lncRNA from 7 species